rnacentral:piRNA from 1 species
UAGCAAUCGGGGUGUGCGUCCAUACAGC